GACGAACGCUGGCGGCGUGCCUAAUACAUGCAAGUUGAGCGCUGAAGGUUGGUACUUGUACCAACUGGAUGAGCAGCGAACGGGUGAGUAACGCGUGGGGAAUCUGCCUUUGAGCGGGGGACAACAUUUGGAAACGAAUGCUAAUACCGCAUAAAAACUUUAAACACAAGUUUUAAGUUUGAAAGAUGCAAUUGCAUCACUCAAAGAUGAUCCCGCGUUGUAUUAGUUAGUUGGUGAGGUAAAGGCUCACCAAGGCGAUGAUACAUAGCCGACCUGAGAGGGUGAUCGGCCACAUUGGGACUGAGACACGGCCCAAACUCCUACGGGAGGCAGCAGUAGGGAAUCUUCGGCAAUAGACGAAAGUCUGACCGAGCAACGCCGCGUGAGUGAAGAAGGUUUUCGGAUCGUAAAACUCUGUUGGUAGAGAAGAACGUUGGUGAGAGUGGAAAGCUCAUCAAGUGACGGUAACUACCCAGAAAGGGACGGCUAACUACGUG
rnacentral:rRNA from 1 species